UACAACCAUAUCACGAUGAAACACAGAUUCCCAUAUGAUCACUGAAGUUAAGCAACAUCAAGCCUGGUCAGUAUCUACAAGAGUGACUGCUUGGGAAUACCAUGUGCUGUAAG